GGCUACGUUGCAAUGCACACAUGCUCACUCACACGAGCGCUCUGCCUGGGAUACAGACUCUCCACUUAGUGGCUCGGAGAGAGGACCGAGGCUCACAGCUUCUCAAUGAGGGGACGCGGCCAAGAGGAGACAGAGCAGUCAUUCCUCGGGAGCCUUCCGCUGCAUGCGUGACAAGGUGUGUGAGGGUGUACAAAAGAAGCUCCCGGUCAUCGCAACAUAGGAGUUGGAGGAGAGGAGAGCAAGGCAACGGCUGAGACCAGAAGGAGAGGAAAAGAGAGCUCCACGUGUGAAGCUGAUACAGCAGUGACAUGAUGAGCCGCCGCUUGCGUCAAGCAGACCUGAGGCUGCGCUGGGCUCGGUGACUCUUUGUGUUUGCGAGGGAUUCAAAAGAAGACUAUCCAGGGACUAUCCAGAAAAGAAAAAAAGAAUUUCAGGCAGGCAUCCCAGGUUUCCACAGUAUGGGUGAAUUUAAAGAGGCGUGAGUCCGCUGGGGGAAGCAGCCAUUCGAACCGAGCCUUGGUCCUCCUCAACUUACUGCUCAGAAUGUCCUGGUUUUUGGCCAUGUGGGUCAACCUCAGCUUCUUGUUGUUGUGUCAGGCUACACUCUACCAGACCAUCCAGCAGCACCAUGUGGCCCGGCCUGGCCGCACUGACAUUCUCACCCUGGAGGGAGGUACGUGUGAGGUGAUUGCGGCCCACAGAUGCUGUAACAAGAAUCGCAUAGAGGAACGCUCUCAGACCGUCAAGUGCUCCUGUUUACCAGGCAAAGUGGCAGGGACAACGCGCAACAAACCCUCCUGUGUGGAUGCAUCCAUUGUAAUUGGGAAAUGGUGGUGUGAGAUGGAACCAUGUCUGGAGGGAGAAGAGUGCAAGACUCUGCCUGACAAUUCUGGAUGGAUGUGCUCCUCUGGGAAUAAAAUCAAGACCACAAGGAACACCCAGCCAUACUCCCCUUUUUAGCUUCUGGAAGCAAAAUGCAGAGGAAACGUCAACCGAAAUUGAGCUGCAUUCUUGCUUCUAUAAAGAUUCAUCCCAGGACCUAACAACGAGCUCCCAUCGCAGGACUUUGCGCCACCCUUUUUCUUCCUGACGAAUAGUGUAAACCUAUUACAUCCAAGGCUGGUGACUGGAUUACCUGGGACCACAGAAAGGAUAUCCACCUAGAUAAAACAGCUUUGCUCAUGUGGUGCCAAGGAUUUCAAACCGCGCUAAUCCCCUGUUUGAUCAAGGAGCCCCAUGUUGAUGAAUCUCUUCAUCCACACAGCUGUGGCCAGCUUGCCACCAACUCUCUCCCAGUUCUUUCUCACUCUGUGUGUCUCUCAAAAACUGAAGCAGCUCAGUCGGGGUCAUUAUGAGGUUGUUUGAACAUUAUAUGAAGACUUUCACCCCGCCUGUCUAAAAGGUAAAGACAUUGAGAAGCUCAUGCGGACUUGAGCAUGGAACGAAGAGCACAAAGACGGAAAAGUACCCUGAUUUCCUAUUCUGUCUUGCGUGGAUAGCUGCCUUUGUGUUUUACUUGCUUACAAGAUGGCUUUGUCGGGACUACCUAGGAAUGAGAAAAAAUGAGCAGCCUAUAAGGAGUUCAUCAAGGUUUUCUUUUUUUAUGACUUGAAGGUCUGCCCUUAUGGUCUCACCUUUGUGGUCGAUAAUGAACAUUUGAUUUGACUUCUUGACCUUAAAGAAAUGUACAUUCUACAGCGCUAGUUUUAUUUGUAUGUAAGAACACGUGUGUGUGUAUAUACAUAAUUAUAUGAAUAAAAGACAUUUAAGACAGCAGAUCGAACAAACUGAAAGGUAUAUUGAAGACUCGAUUAGGAGUUUAACCCCACACAUUGUUUUUUUUCUCUUUGGAGUAAAAGUGGAAUUCAUACUUGUGGAGAGCCGUGCAUUGACGUGUACAGGAACGCUUCACUUGUAAUGGAAAAGGUACAAAGAUAACUGUAAAAAUAACUAUCUGUCACUGGUCAUUUUGCAGUGUUGGUCAGGCCAGAACAUGCUGGUAAAGAUGAGGAAAACACUGUAUAGGACUGCCUCACUAAUCAACAUUGUCUGAAGUUUCAACUCAGAUUGGCAACCAUUGCAAAAAAUAAAACAACAACUGCAGGUAAUUGGAUCAUUAAUGUGUCUCUUGCUGCUGAAAGUGGUCAUAAGUAAUCUGUGAACGUUUGCUGUGUAGAUGUAUUUUCACACACCAGACCGUGACAAUUCAGGUGAAAUAUUCCAAAACACAGAGAGCUGGUAUUGAUAACUACAGCGAGAAAUACUGUUAUCCCCUAGUAGAGAAACAAGUACAUUACAGGAGAGCCUCUUGAGAAAUAAAAAGUAAUUUUCUUUACUGAUUUGGAGUCUGUAGUUCCCUUCUUAUGGUGACUGAUAUGUGAGGAAAAUGGCUACUUGAUGUGUUGUAAUAUCUUGUCUUUUAUCUGAUCUUUUAACAUUGUGAAGAGACGUUUUGCUUGAGUGAAUAAACAAUCAACAACACAUGCCGAAUAUGAACUGCGGCUUCCAGGCAAACGAACAUGUAGUAAACACACAAACAAUACAGAGAUGCUUGAUUUAUAUUAUUCCCCUGCUAGUAGGCUGGAUUUAUCAGAAUAGCACAUUUCAAUUCAUUCAGGCAAUUUAGAAGAAAGAUUUCCAAUAUCAUGCCAAGCCAACUGCAAGAUGAUUUCAAUAUCAAUCCCUUCUCUGCUCAUUUGAGAGGUAUUUCUCCCAGAGGCUGUGCUUCUAUACAUUCAUCAUUGCAGAAUGUGUAGUUUCAUGGCGCGCAGAACCUCACUAAACUAUUAUGAGAUAAAGGACAAACGUGACAAGUUAUGAGGGAAUAUUCAAAAUUUAGCAGAUUAAGAGCUUUUUUUCACAAUGAUGACCUGUUUACUUUUUGUAGUCACAUAUAAAAAGAUUAAUUUGGCGGCCAUUUCGCCAGCGUCUUGUGACGAUUAUGCAUUUAUCUUGUGCCUGUGUAGAAAAUCAAGGAAUUCCCCUCCCCCUGUACAAUUUUGAAGCGAAUUUCUGAUUUGAGGUGGAAAGGGUGUUUUUUUUUCAUGUUUUCCUUUCUACAGUUUUUAGCUCAGUGCACAAAAGAUGGAGUCUUGCUGUGUAGGGAGGCCCUGCUCCAUUUUAGGCAGUGUAGACAGGAAUGCAGCAUAAAUAGAUAACAAUACAUGGUCCUCCUCCGUCGACGGUUAAGUGCAAUCUCGAAAGAGAGGCAUCCAUCCAAGCCCAAUGACCUCCUGGGGAGACGGAGAGGCAGCUGUGUCCUCAUCUCUCUGGAUGGCUAAUCAACGACUGACAGCAAGGAGGGUAACCCUUUUAGCUCGUAAAUCCCAAACUGUGUUGCUACAUAUUGUAUGUGCCUAACUUCCAAGGGCAUCUCAAAUGAAUGAAUGUCCCAUGCAGAUAUUAAAUGUUUGAAGUUUUACUGCUUCCUCUA